rnacentral:rRNA from 1 species
GACGUAGGAUGCAAGCGUUGUCCGGAAUUAUUGGGCGUAAAGCGUUCGUAGGUGGCCUGUCAAGUCUGAUGUUAAAGCCCGGAGCUCAACUCCGGUUCAGCAUUGGAUACUGACAAGCUAGAGUGCAGGAGAGGCAAGGGGAAUUCCUAGUGUAGCGGUGAAAUGCGUAGAUAUUAGGAGGAACACCGGUGGCGAAAGCGCCUUGCUGGACUGUAACUGACGCUGAGGGACGAAAGCCAGGGGGGCAAAUGGG